AAAACCUCUCAGAAGAAAAGCAGCAAACGCCAAAGACGAAGAGAAGGCUUUAUGGAUAGAGAAACAGAGGGUGGGGAGAAAGGAGAGCGAGGAGUUUAGACUUCUGCACUGUUUCCUCUCUCUUCAGUCUGUCUGUCGUUUUUUUGAAGCGCAUUGUCUCUCUUCUCUUCUUCUCUCCCCUGUUUUUCUCAAGCUGGUCAUCUCCAGAAUGAAUAGAAGGCUUGUACUUACAGUCCUGGCCCUGAAUGUUGUAACCAAUGAAAUCAAGGUAUCCACCUCCCAACCUCUCACACCAUCCAACUCCACUCCUGCUACCUUCAUUCCCCCUGCUCCCACCACUUCCUGUGUGUGUAAAGUCUCCACUUCCUGUUCCUCUCCGACCCAGCCCGAGUCUCCGCCACCUGCGCUGGGUGUUAUCAAGGUCAAAUGGGAAGAAAAGUCCUGGCUGUGUAAGAGGAAGGGCUGCGAGGGCUCCCCAACGUGGACUAAGAUCAAUCCUAAAGCUUUGGGUUACCAGAUCAGUACGAAUGGAAGUGUUGCCAACAACCCCUGUACAACACUGGGGAUCCAAUGCGACGUCGUCUCAGAUCAGUUAGUGGGCUAUAAGGUGGUGACUGGUCUACUGUGUGUUCUGGUGCUGGUGGUGCUGAUGGUGCGUUUCGGGCAGCCCUCCCUCAAGGCCCUCCGUAGGAG
ensembl:lncRNA